CUUUAGCCCCGGGUGAAGUGGAAAUCCUCCCGAUUUUUAUUCGGGAGAUUGUAACGGAAAACGGGACGAUGU
rnacentral:sRNA from 1 species